GACGAACGCUGGCGGCGUACUUAACACAUGCAAGUCGAACGGAAAGGCCUGCUUUCCCUUGUGGAUUGCGGGUACUCGAGUGGCGAACGGGUGAGUAACACGUGAGUGAUCUGCCCCCAACUUGGGUAUAAGCCUGGGAAACUGGGUCUAAUUCCCGAUAGGACUGCAGGGUGGUGCCUGUGGUGGAAAACGAUUUUCUAGUGGUUGGGGAUGAGCUCGCGGCCUAUCAGCUUGUUGGUGGGGUAAUGGCCUACCAAGGCGGCGACGGGUAGCCGGCCUGAGAGGGUGGACGGCCACAUUGGGACUGAGAUACGGCCCAGACUCCUACGGGAGGCAGCAGUGGGGAAUAUUACACAAUGGGCGGAAGCCUGAUGCAGCGACGCCGCGUGGGGGAUGACGGCCUUCGGGUUGUAAACUCCUUUCGACCGCGAGGAAGCCACCUGGUUGGAAGGGUGGUGACGGUAGUGGUAGAAGAAGCACCGGCUAACUACGUG
rnacentral:rRNA from 1 species